rnacentral:other from 1 species
GCAGUCAACGCCUUUCGGCAUCACGGCGAGUGGGAC